AUGAGCGGCGGCGAGGAGGAGGAGGACGAGGACGAGGAGGUGUUCUACGAGUCGCGGGACCGGGUCCUCUCCUCCUCCGGCUCCUCCACCUCCGCCUCGGACGACGAUGACCACGCGCAGCAGCAGCAGCGACGCCGACGGGACGCCCACCCGCCUGCGGCGGCCGCGGCAACGGCGGCGCUCGACCUGUGGACGUCGCAGCCGGCGCCCGUGCAGGAGCGCCGCAGGAGGCUCCUCCAGACGAUGGGGCUCGCCGGGGACCCCUCCCUCGCGCGCCUCGAGAUGGGCCGAUCGGUCUCCUACGACGGGCCCGUCCCCGUCCCCCCGCCCACGCUCUCGCCCAUGCCCCGAUCCAGAUCGGACGGCGCCGUGCCAGCCUCCACCAAGCCGCCGAGAGGGGGCCGCACGUCGUCGGGCUCCUCCGAGGCCAUGCCGGAGGACGAGGCGGACCCCAGGUGCCUAAUCCGGAACCUCGACGACGGCACCGAGUUCGUCGUCAAGGAAGAGUUUGAGCUCCGCGAGGUCGGCACGGGCCGCCAGCUCACCCUGGAGCAGUUCCAGCUCUGCGUCGGCCGCUCCCCCAUCGUGCAGGAGCUCAUGCGCCGCCAGAACAUUGCAAACCACGGCGCCUCCACUCCCAUCCACAGGUCCAGCUCCGACUCCAGCAACGGCGCGGCCCGGCCCAGGCGCCGCAUUAGCUGGCUUCGUACCAUCCGCCACGUCGCUGGCUCUAUGGUGGCCGGCUCCCGUGACCGCCGAAGCAGCGACGAGAAGGACGCGUCAUCGGAGAAGGGCGGACGCCGGUCCAGCUCAGCCACGGAUGACAGCCAGGAUAGUGCCGGCGCCGUGCACCAUGGCCCAGAGCGCAUUAAGGUGCGGCUGUACGGCAAGUCGUACAAGGAGCUCAGUGGGCUGUUCAUGAACCAGGAGGUACGGGCGCACGACGGGUCUAUCUGGAGUAUCAAGUUUAGCCCCGAUGGGCGCUACCUUGCAAGUGCUGGGGUGGACUGUGUGAUCCAUGUCUGGGAAGUGUUGGAGUUUGAAAGGAGACGAGAGGAGAAUGGGGUGUCUAAUCCAUUUGUUGCAGUGAUGUGCAAUGGUUCGCCAGAGCCGACAUUGGCCUUGGCCACUGUGGAUGGGAGCCAUUGGGAUAAGAAACUCCGGGCGAGGGUCUCGCAAUGUCGGAAAUCAAGUAGCUCAGACCGGUUGAUGGUGCCAGAGCAUGUGUUUGGACUGUCGGAAAAACCGGUCAAAACUUUUGAGGGGCAUUCAGAGGAUGUUCUUGAUCUAUGCUGGUCCAAGUCACAGUACUUGCUUUCGUCUUCAAUGGACAAAACAGUAAAGUUAUGGGACAUGUCAAGUGUAUCAUGUUUGAAAACGUUCUCACACUGUGACUAUGUGACAUGCAUCCAGUUCAACCCUGUCGAUGAUAGAUACUUCAUUAGUGGUUCUCUCGAUGAAAAGGUCCGCAUCUGGAGCAUUCCAAAACGUGAAAUUGUUGAUUGGCAUGAUCUGCAUGAAAUGGUCACUGCUGCUUGCUAUACCCCUGAUGGACAGAGUGCGUUAGUUGGUUCCCACAAGGGCAGCUGUCAUCUUUAUGACACAUCGGAUAAUAAGCUUAUCCAAAAGAAACAAAUUGACUUGCAAACUAAAAAGAAGAAGUCCCGCCAGAAGAAGAUCACUGGAUUUCAGUUACUUGAACAGUUCCUUCCAGGCAGUUCUUCGAAGGUGCUCAUCACAUCUGCCGAUUCACGGAUCCGAGUUAUUGAUGAUUUUGAACUAGUUCACAAAUUUAAAGGUUUCCGAAACACCAACAGCCAAAUCUCAGCUUGCUACGCUGCAAGAGGCAGAUACGUGAUCUCAGCAAGCGAGAACUCCCAUGUGUACGUGUGGAGAAACGACGACAGCCCUGAGCAAAGAAGCAGCAGCAGCAAGGGCGUCGUGUCUGUCGCAAACUCCUACGAGUACUUCUACUGCCGGGACGUGACGGUGGCCGCUGCCUUGCCAUCCACGGCGGGGUCAGCGGCGACGUCCCGGACCAACUCCAGGAGGAAGCACCAGGAGCUGGAUUGUGUGUCCGAGUAUCCUCUGCCGCACGCAGGAGACGGAGAUUCCUCUGAUUUCCAGCGGCAGCAGAGCCGCAAUGACCUAAGCAACGGUUCGAACCACAGCGGCGGUGACAGAGCGUCUGCGACCUGGCCCGAGGAGCUCAUGACGCCGACGAAACAGAGCCCGCGGUCCAGCACCAGUCUCCCCGACGGUGACGGUGCCGGGCAGGCUCCAAGCCGGUCGGCCUGGGGCAUGGCCAUCGCCACGGCAGGCAGCGGGGGUCAAAUCAGGAUACUCCAGAAUUUUGGGUUUCCCGUCAGAGUAUAG
rnacentral:rRNA from 1 species